rnacentral:lncRNA from 1 species
AUGAUCAUGAAGAAGCCAGGGCUCAAGUCCAAGCCUGUCUGCAACCAGGUUUUUGACUUUGAAUUGACUCCAGAAGACAUGAAAGCAAUUGAAGGCCUCAACAGAAAUUUUCGAUAUUUCAAACUAUUAUUGUAAGUGACUUGUACGUUGUGUUUUAUGGAUUGUUAGUUGUUUUCUGUAGUGUGGAGGUCAGUAGAGGGACUCAG